UACCCAUAAUUGAUUACGCCGAUGCCUGC
rnacentral:piRNA from 1 species